rnacentral:rRNA from 1 species
UACAGAGGUCCCGAGCGUUGUUCGGAUUCACUGGGCGUAAAGGGUGCGCAGGUGGGUUGGCAAGUUCGAUGUGAAAGCCCCGGGCUUAACCCGGGAAUGGCAUUGGAUACUGCUGAUCUGGAGGAUCGGAGGGGGGGACUGGAAUUCUUGGUGUAGCAGUGAAAUGCGUAGAUAUCAAGAGGAACACCAGUGGCGAAGGCGAGUCCCUGGACGAUACCUGACACUGAGGCACGAAAGCCAAGGGAGCAAAACAGG